GAGAGAGGGCUUAAUAAAAAAUGCAAACUAUUGACCGAACAGCCAAUCGAUACAACGGAUCCCAUCGAGUCUCCGCCCGGACACGCCCCUCUCAUCCCUUUAUUGGUAAUCCGAUAUCAACAAAUGGCUAAUUACCCGCACUCUCUUUCUCGAUUGGCCCAACUUCUUGUCAUUCAGUUGCAUCACCGCCUGUAUAAGGACGGUGCGCCGCUCGGUGGGCGGGAUGAUUUAGUAGUGAGCAGGCGGCGGUAGUAGCUUUGACUCCGGGGGCUUAGCGUGCAGGAAGCUUGGAGCACGGACUCUCUGCACGCUCUCCCAUACCAUCCAUGAAGCCGCACUAGUAGGGUGAAAUGUGGCGAUCGUGUCCGCGCCGUGGCACCCUACAUGGUAAAGCACCAUGCUCUUAGAAGCUCACCCCGUUGAGGCUGCUAUUGAGUGUAUUAAUUUCUUAAAUGUGAACUGGAUCUGCGCUAGAUGAUACUAAAGGGGUUUAAAGCACUUUCUGGAAUAACAAUAAAAAGUGACAUCAUGUCAUACUGGAUUAUGUUCCCCAGCGACAGGGCUUAUGGAAAAUAGCCUGCUUUGUAGCCGCCUAUAUGUAAUUUCCAUCAGCUCAGUGAAAAAGAAACUUAUAUUGCUGCUUAUCAUGCUUUUACUGUGGGCGUAUACGCUGUACUCUUGCAUGGGUUACUGUGCCACCAUGCCAAGUCCAAUAAUGGACUCGAACCGAGAUAAGGAAAGCCAGGGCACCGGGAGAAGAACGGACGCCAGCGAAGUCGAGAUCUUACCCAGGCUGCUACCCAGACCGCAAGGCUGGGAGGACUUGGAAACGGACUACGAGGAAUCCUCUCCGAGGACAUAUUCGAGAGACCUGCUGAACAACGAGGACUGGGAUGAUGCAAAAAGCGAGCAGAGUGCUGCAGAUCUCAGUGCCCUGUCGAGCUUUUCCAAUGGCUCAGGUAGUAAGAAACUGCCCCAAGCGAUCAUCAUCGGGGUGAAGAAAGGCGGCACCCGGGCGCUGCUCGAGUUCUUGAGGGUACACCCCGACAUCAGAGCAGUGGGCGCGGAGCCACACUUCUUCGAUAGGAACUACAACAACGGCCUCGACUGGUACCGGGACCUGAUGCCCAAAACCUUGGAAGGCCAGAUCACCAUGGAGAAGACCCCCAGCUAUUUUGUGACAAGGGAAGCUCCGGCACGAAUCUAUGCAAUGUCUCGGGACACCAAAGUGAUCGUGGUGGUCCGAGACCCUGUCACCAGGGCCAUUUCAGACUACACACAGACUUUAUCCAAAAAGCCUGACAUUCCUUCCUUCGAGAGCCUGACUUUUAAAAACAGGACUACGGGCCUCAUUGACACGUCAUGGAGCGCCAUCCAGAUUGGCAUCUAUGCCAAGCACCUGGAGAACUGGCUCCAGUAUUUCCCCAUGGGGCAGAUCCUUUUUGUGAGUGGGGAACGGCUAAUUAGUGACCCAGCCGGAGAGUUGGGGAAGGUCCAGGAUUUCCUGGGUCUCAAGAGGAUCAUCACAGACAAGCAUUUCUAUUUCAACCAGACCAAGGGGUUCCCAUGCUUGAAGAAAGCGGAGGGCAGCAGCAAGCCCCACUGCCUGGGCAAAACAAAGGGCAGGACUCAUCCGAACAUCGACCGCGAGGUGGUGCAGCGGCUGCGGGACUUCUACAGGCCUUUCAACAUGAAGUUUUAUCAAAUGACCGGCCAUAAUUUCGGAUGGGAUUGAAUCUCCGGUUUGUCUACUUUAGAGACUUGUGAAGUUAUUUCUAUAUAUGUAAAAUGUACAGAAAUUUAUUUUAUAAUAAUUUAUUUUUAAUUUCUAAGCAAUUAAUUCACUAAGCUGCCUAACUGCAUUGUAACCUUUAGCCCACAUCCUGUUUUAACAUUCCUCUAGGUCAAUUCACAGGGAGGCGUGGGGGUCGUGGUUGGGGGUCGGGGGGGAUAAUUUUUGAUAUUCUUCAGAUUCCUGCCAAAUAAAGGUGCUUUCAAAGUAGGAAAAAAAUAAAUUAGACAUAACACAAAAAAAUAUAUAUAUACACACUUCAAAAACUACGACUUGAAAUAAGAGAAAUCUGCUAUAGCUCGAAUCCACAUCAUUUUGCAUCACAGCUCAGACAGACGCCCAUCAAUAAAAAUGUCCUCCAUGUUACUUUUUGAAAAAAGUAUGUUUACAUUAGAUUUUAAUAGUUCUGAAUUAAUAAAAAAAAAGAAUGAAAAAGCACAAUUUUUUUGUGUUACGGGUAUACAGCAUUCACAUACUGCGAUUCUGAAUGCAUUAGCAAUUCUGAAGGUAUCUGAAGAUAGAUAAAAAACAAAAUCUCUUAAUUUAUUUAUUUUUAUUAACAUAUCUUGCUGGAAAUAAGUCUUUUUGCAAGGGUGUGUUACAGCUAAACCAAAAGGUGAAAGAUUAUUCAGUAUACAGGCCUCCUCUAUCGCGUCCCCCCCCCUCUUGCGCGUCUUCUUUGGAUGAGGGAUGAGGCGGAUAUGCAACGAAACAGGGUAACCUGGGCUGCUCCUCGAUCGAACCGUCUCAUUGGCGAUUUAAAAGACAAUACAUGAACGAUAAGCCUCACCGGGGGGGGAUAAAAAAUUAAAGACAACUGCAGAUGGCGUGAGUUGCGAGCAUCUUAAAAUCUCAUCAAGCAGCUUAUCUGUCCAUCCAUAGAUCAUCCGACCCACUUAUACCGUUAAAGGGUUAUGGGGAGCCAGACACGAUUCUAGCAACACUGGCCACAAGGUGAGACCAACCCUAGAUGGGGGUUACAGAACAUUCGCUCACGCCAAACCCGUUGAGCUAACGUUCACCAUGUUUAUGAUCACUCGAGUAAACCCGUGUGGACCGUCUGCAACCGAAAUCCAACAGCACUGUGCCAGCCAUACCUCCCAUAUGCAGUAGGAAGAUGGUGGCCAGUUCACCCCAAUGGCCGACAACUCUGCUUCAUUAUUAAUACACUGGUGGGGAAUGCACUGUUGUUCUCAAAGUAAGAUCGACAGAGUAAAGAAUGGACUCCCUACCUUAGACAGAAACAAAAAGUGGACUCUUAAAGCAACUGUAAGAUACAUAGCAUUAAUAGUUAGAGCUGUCCCCCGCUUCGGAAGACCACGUUGACUUGAAAGUGAGACGCUGAGCGUGGUCGCCAUAUCCUUAAUUUGUGGAGUUUUGUUUACACAUUUUUUGCUCAUGAACGGGUGAACUAACUAAACUCUAACAGCAGCUAAUUAUGUGCUAAAACUAUUAGUUACACCCCCCCCUUCCCCAUAUAACAUCAUCCCAUCUUUGAAGGAAAGUUGCAGCUAAGUUUACGAUAAAAAAUGCAAUAGAUAAAACGAUUAGCUACCCUCCAUCGUAAGCCCCUUAGUGUAAUCCCACCCUGACAUCAACUGGCACCAAGACAGGAUGAAAGCCCAGUUACUACCCAACCCCUUCCUGAGGUGUCAAUGCCUCAUCAAAUCAUCUCCUGAAUAGUGACGAGCGAUAACAGGGAAGUUUUGAUUCUCAUACGGUUUCCUAAAACCGACGCUAAAAUUCAUUUUGCCGGCGAUUUUACAAUUGCGAAACGCGAAAUUCACUACAAAGUGUUUCUGGUGGGUUUCAAAGGUUUCCUGGGGUUGAAAAUGAGGACUGCUGCUCCCUAAACACUCAUUCAAACGUCCAGGUUUACCUGUGGUUUGUUCUCCCUUGCACGCCCCCGUAGUCGAUCCUACUUGUGCCUCUCGUUCAAAUCACGUUGGACGUGACAGAGACGUAGCGCGUAUCUUCCUCACGUAGUUACAUCGAAACCCACCCUGCUGUGUUUUCUCACUAUCUCCCGUUCCUUCGAGAUUAAUUUCCGUCUCCGGUGAAUCUUUAGUAUUACGAUUGGCCAGCUAUGGUGUGCAUCUUCUUACCAGUACAGUCCAUGAAGCAUGCAUGAUGGCUCAACAAAAUGUUUAUAUGUGACAGGUAAUGAAUCCAGUCAGUGAUUGUUAUUUUCCACUAGGGGUCUUUACUUAAGUACGAAAUGAUAAAGCAGGCAGAAACUGAAUACCUUUUUUCUAGUAUCAUCGUUAAGAAUUUCGCUAGAAGCGAAACGUCCCCUGUUGUGGAUAUUUUAGUACGAAGCGAAAUAACGAGAUUUCAAUUUUGUUUAUCACUGCCCCCACACAAUUCACCUCACAUUAGGCAAUGAAAACGAGUCACUAACCUGCAAAAAAUGAAUGGCCCCCGUAAUAUGGCCCAACUUUUACAGGAAGCAUUUCAAAAAUUUUAAUACCAAGAGAAACACCAAGUUGCGCUGUGAAUUUAAUUCCAUUCAAGUCGUUUUUCUCAUCACUAAUCCAGAACAAUUCACCUUACACGAGCCAAUGAAAAUGAGUCACUAACGUGCAAGAAACGAAUGACCCCCUCAUGUGGCCAGCAUCAACAGCAUGACGUCACUGAAAGUGAAACGUCCCUUGUUUCGAAGAUUCGAAUUUGAAGCGAAACUCCGAGAUACGCUGUGAAUUCAGUUUCGUUCAAGUUGUUUCGCUCAUCACUACUUCUGAACAAGUCACCUUACAUAAGGCAACGAGUCACUAAGAAGUAAGAAACGAAUGACCCCCUUAAUGUGGUUAGUGUCAACGGCACAAAUUUUGCAGGAAGCGAAACAUCCCUUGUUUCUAAAUAUUUAAUACGAAAUUAAAUAACUACUUCUGAACCAAUUCGCUUUAUGUAAGGGUAUGAAAGCAAGUCACUAACAAUCAAGUAACGAAUGACCCCCUAAUGAGGUUAGUGUCAACGGCACAAAUUUCGCAGGAAGCAAAAUGUCCCUUGUUUAGAAAAUUUUGGUACGAAGCGAAACAACGCGUUACGCUGCAAAUUCAAUUCCUAUCAAGCUGUUUCGCUCAUCAUUCCUCCUGAACAAUUCACCUUACUGUACAUAAGGCUACAAAAACGAGUCACUAACAUACAAAAAAAAAAUGAAUGACCCCCCCCCUCCCCCUCCCCCAUAUGGGGCUAAGCGUCAACGGCAGAAAUUUCGCAGAAAGCAAAACAUCUGUUGUUUUUUCGAAGAUUUGAAUCCAAAGCGAAACACCGAGUUACGCCGUGAAUUCAAUUCCGUUCGAGUCCGUUCGUUUCAGUGCCUUGAGUAAGGUGAAUUACUCAGGAGUGGCGAUGAGAGAAGGCAUUGAAAACGAGUCUCAAACCUGCAGGAGACGAAUGACCCCCUAAUGUGCUCCGGUGGUAUCACCUGAUUAAUGUGACCUUUGGAUCAUUCUUAAUGGAUAGCCAAUCAUAUCUCAUAUCACAGUCCAUUCUCCAGAAGCUACCGUGCAUGAUCCCACUUUGAGAAGUCUCGUCAGCAAAUUAGCACCCCUCAAUCGUAAAAUCCGCCCUACUUGAAGACUUGAAUAUCACAUUUUGUUUUUGUUGUUUUUCUUCUUUGUGUGUCACGUAGCGUUGUCCAUGUGUUUACUAACAUCUAAACAACCGUCCAUCCAUUCUCCUAACCCUCUUUGUCCCGUUACACAAUUCCAGGUACUCAUUUUUUUCCGUAUUUUUUUAUCGUUUCUAUUAAUCCCAGUUAGCAAAGAAUUGAGAAACAAGAGUGCCUCCCCCUAAUUGAUAAACUCACGAUAGAUCUUCAGGAUGUUGCCAUUGCCAAAUCAAAACCCCCAAAUCAUUUUCUGUUCUCCAAAUGGUGUUAUAUGCAAUAAGGGUAAUUAAAGAAAACUGCACUUCUCGUCCAUUUUCUGCAUCCUGAGCUAUUCUGGAGCUCAGCUUGCAUGGUGGUGGGUUUGUUAUAGUGGCUCUCAGUAUGAGUGCUGGCGAAUAGGCGGUCCCAACAUUCACUUCAAAAUAAGAGUCGAAGUGGACUUCAUUCAAGAGACUGGACUGCCUGCAGGAGUCACCAUCUGUUAGAGUUGCAGCUGUUAAACAAUGCAAUUUCCAGUUAGGUUGACCCUAAAGCAAGCUGCAAGCAAGAUGGUGUGGAGGUUGAGGGAGGCACGUUACUUUUAAAAAAUAUAUUUUUUGAGUUUUCUGUUAUGUUUUGAAAAACUUUGUGCCUGGAGCGUCCCAACUUUAUCCGCUUUUUUUUUUUUGUUGUUGUUUUUGAUAAAAUCCGGAGAACUGAAACAUCUGAAGGAAAGCCAUCAGUAUCUGGAGUAGUACAGGGGGCGCACCUCCUCAAUAGUCGCUGCCCCCAUAUCACUUUUGAAGUUUCAAAAUGGGGGCCUGUGUGGUGUUCUUCAAAGCUCAGUAUUCCAUUUUUUCAUAUGUGGUUAAAUCUCUUCCUUUGUUCAAUUAUGGUUGAGUUUUAUUCAACCCGCUCAGCAGAGGUACACACCUUCAUGAUUCUCUUUUUCCUCCCACAUGUAAUAAAGGUACUUAGGAUAGCAAAUCUGUAUAAAGGAUAUGGAAAUGUAAAAUCAAGUAUUUUGUGUUAUAUGUACAACAAGAAAAAAAAAUAAUUUUACACGGUGAAAAAAAAAAACAAAAUGUUUCUAGAGAAUUAAAUACUGAACAUUUAUUCUAUUUCUUUGUAUUGAAGAAAUAAAUGAAGCAUAUAUUUUACCAAA